ensembl:lncRNA
GAAAUAUAGGUGAUUGACUUCUUAAAAGAUCUGGUUUUGGAUGCUGUGUCCGAAAGUCAGUACAUAAAUCUACAUCUAGGAAACUAAAAAUGAUUUGGCUUUCAGAGUGCUGAAUCACUUCAGAAACCUGGGACUGCAUACCUUACUUUAUUUAGUGUAGCUGUACAUGUAUAAAAAGAUGCCUGUCCAUUGGAAGACACAGAUGUCAACAGUAAAUACUGGAAAGUGUUUUCUUCAGUUUCCAGGACAGCUUGUUGAAAUCCUAACAGUUAUUAGCUGUUACUAUGCAGCAAGCCUGCUCAUUGAAAAAAAUCAAUGUGUUGAAUGUUCUGC